rnacentral:rRNA from 1 species
AGAGUUUGAUCCUGGCUCAGGAUGAACUCUGGCGGCACGCCUAACACAUGCAAGUCGAACGGAGUUAAGAGGAGCUUGCUUUUCUUAACUUAGUGGCGGACGGGUGAGUAACACGUGAGCAACCUGCCUUUCAGAGAGGGAUAGCUUCUGGAAACGGAUGGUAAUACCUCAUAACAUAAUUUUACGGCAUCGUGGAAUUAUCAAAGAAUUAUCGCUGAAAGAUGGGCUCGCGUCUGAUUAGCUUGUUGGUGAGGUAACGGCCCACCAAGGCAACGAUCAGUAGCCGGACUGAGAGGUUGAACGGCCACAUUGGGACUGAGACACGGCCCAGACUCCUACGGGAGGCAGCAGUGGGGAAUAUUGCACAAUGGGCGCAAGCCUGAUGCAGCGAUGCCGCGUGAGGGAAGAAGGUUUUCGGAUUGUAAACCUCUGUCAACAGGGACGAAAAUGACGGUACCUGUGAAGGAAGCUCCGGCUAACUACGUGCCAGCAGCCGCGGUAAUACGUAGGGAGCAAGCGUUAUCCGGAAUUACUGGGUGUAAAGGGAGUGUAGGCGGGACUGUAAGUCAGAUGUGAAAUAUGCCGGCUCAACUGGCAGACUGCAUUUGAAACUGCGGUUCUUGAGUGAAGUAGAGGUAAGCGGAAUUCCUAGUGUAGCGGUGAAAUGCGUAGAUAUUAGGAGGAACAUCAGUGGCGAAGGCGGCUUACUGGGCUUUAACUGACGCUGAGGCUCGAAAGCGUGGGGAGCAAACAGGAUUAGAUACCCUGGUAGUCCACGCUGUAAACGAUGGACACUAGGUAUGGGUAUGGGAACAUAUCCGUGCCGAAGUUAACGCGCUAAGUGUCCCGCCUGGGGACUACGACCGCAAGGUUGAAACUCAAAGGAAUUGACGGGGGCCCGCACAAGCGGUGGAGCACGUGGUUUAAUUCGAUGCAAACCGAAGAACCUUACCUGGGUUUGACAUACAAGUGGUAGUGAAGAGAGAUUGGAACGACCUAGUUUACUAGGAGCUUGAACAGGUGCUGCAUGGCUGUCGUCAGCUCGUGUCGUGAGAUGUUGGGUUAAGUCCCGCAACGAGCGCAACCCCUAUUGUUGGUUGCUAACGAGUGAAGUCGAGCACUCCAGCGAGACUGCCGCCGACAAGGCGGAGGAAGGUGGGGACGACGUCAAGUCAUCAUGGCCUUUAUGCCCAGGGCGACACACGUGCUACAAUGGUCUGCACAGAGGGCAGCUUUGCCGCGAGGUAUGGCGAAUCCUAUAAAGCAGAUCUCAAUUCGGAUUGUAGUCUGCAACUCGACUACAUGAAGCCGGAAUCGCUAGUAAUCGCGAAUCAGCCAAGUCGCGGUGAAUACGUUCCCGGGCCUUGUACACACCGCCCGUCA